UACGGAGGGUGCAAGCGUUAUCCGGAUUCACUGGGUUUAAAGGGUGCGUAGGUGGGUUGGUAAGUCAGUGGUGAAAUCUCCAGGCUUAACUUGGAAACUGCCAUUGAUACUAUCAAUCUUGAAUACCGUGGAGGUCAGCGGAAUAUGUCAUGUAGCGGUGAAAUGCUUAGAUAUGACAUAGAACACCAAUUGCGAAGGCAGCUGGCUACACUAGCAUUGACACUGAUGCACGAAAGCGUGGGGAUCAAACAGG
rnacentral:rRNA from 1 species